UACAGAGGGUGCUAGCGUUGUUCGGAAUCAUUGGGCGUAAAGGGCGUGUAGGCGGUUUGCUAAGUCAUGUGUGAAAUCCCUCGGCUUAACCGGGGAACGACGCAUGAAACUGGCAAGCUAGAGUACCAAAGAGGGGGGUGGAAUUCCGCGUGUAGCAGUGAAAUGCGUAGAGAUGCGGAGGAACACCGAUGGCGAAGGCAGCCCCCUGGGCUGACACUGACGCUCAGGCACGAAAGCGUGGGGAGCAAACAGG
rnacentral:rRNA from 1 species